rnacentral:tRNA from 1 species
GCCUGGGUGGCUCAGGGGUUGAGCAUCUGCCUUCAGCUCAGAGCGUGAUCCCAGGUCGUGGGAUCAAGUCCCACAUCGGGUU